UUGUCCUACGGGGCGCAGCAGUGAGGAAUAUUGGUCAAUGGGCUUACGCCUGAACCAGCCAAGUCGCGUGAGGGAAGACUGCCCUAUGGGUUGUAAACCUCUUUUGUCAGGGAGCAACGCCGGCUACGUGUAGCCGGACUGAGAGUACCUGAAGAAAAAGCAUCGGCUAACUCCGUGCCAGCAGCCGCGGUAAUACGUAGGUGGCAAGCGUUAUCCGGAUUUAUUGGGCGUAAAGGGAACGCAGGCGGUCUUUUAAGUCUGAUGUGAAAGCCUUCGGCUUAACCGGAGUAGUGCAUUGGAAACUG
rnacentral:rRNA from 1 species